rnacentral:rRNA from 1 species
GCGGACGGAUGGGAGCUUGCUCCCUGAAGUCAGCGGCGGACGGGUGAGUAACACGUGGGCAACCUGCCUGUAAGACUGGGAUAACUUCGGGAAACCGGAGCUAAUACCGGAUAAUGCACAGCCUCUCAUGAGGCUAUGCUGAAAGAUGGUUUCGGCUAUCACUUACAGAUGGGCCCGCGGCGCAUUAGCUAGUUGGUGAGGUAACGGCUCACCAAGGCAACGAUGCGUAGCCGACCUGAGAGGGUGAUCGGCCACACUGGGACUGAGACACGGCCCAGACUCCUACGGGAGGCAGCAGUAGGGAAUCUUCCGCAAUGGACGAAAGUCUGACGGAGCAACGCCGCGUGAGUGAUGAAGGUUUUCGGAUCGUAAAACUCUGUUGUCAGGGAAGAACAAGUGCCGGAGUAACUGCCGGCACCUUGACGGUACCUGACCAGAAAGCCACGGCUAACUACGUGCCAGCAGCCGCGGUAAUACGUAGGUGGCAAGCGUUGUCCGGAAUUAUUGGGCGUAAAGCGCGCGCAGGCGGUCUCUUAAGUCUGAUGUGAAAGCCCACGGCUCAACCGUGGAGGGUCAUUGGAAACUGGGGGACUUGAGUGCAGAAGAGGAAAGUGGAAUU